CCCAGACUCCUACGGGAGGCAGCAGUGAGGAAUAUUGGUCAAUGGCCGAGAGGCUGAACCAGCCAAGUCGCGUGAGGGAAGAAUGUCCUAUGGAUUGUAAACCUCUUUUGUCAGGGAGCAAAGUCACCCACGUGUGGGUGUUGGAGAGUACCUGAAGAAAAAGCAUCGGCUAACUCCGUGCCAGCAGCCGCGGUAAUACGGAGGAUGCGAGCGUUAUCCGGAUUUAUUGGGUUUAAAGGGUGCGUAGGCGGAGUGUCAAGUCAGCGGUAAAAUUUCGGGGCUCAACCCCGUCGUGCCGUUGAAACUGGCAGUCUCGAGUUGGAGAGAAGUAUGCGGAAUGCGCGGUGUAGCGGUGAAAUGCAUAGAUAUCGCGCAGAACUCCGAUUGCGAAGGCAGCAUGCCGGCUCCACACUGACGCUGAGGCACGAAAGCGUGGGUAUCGAACAGGAUUAGAUACCCCGGUACAA
rnacentral:rRNA from 1 species